GGAUCCAGACUUUGAUUAUGGCUCAGGAUGAACGCUAGCUACAGGCUUAACACAUGCAAGUCGAGGGGAAACGAUAUUGGAAGCUUGCUUCCGAUAGGCGUCGACCGGCGCACGGGUGAGUAACGCGUAUCCAACCUGCCCACCACUUGGGGAUAACCUUGCGAAAGUAAGACUAAUACCCAAUGAUAUCUCUAGAAGACAUCUGAAAGGGAUUAAAGAUUUAUCGGUGAUGGAUGGGGAUGCGUCUGAUUAGCUUGUUGGCGGGGUAACGGCCCACCAAGGCGACGAUCAGUAGGGGUUCUGAGAGGAAGGUCCCCCACAUUGGAACUGAGACACGGUCCAAACUCCUACGGGAGGCAGCAGUGAGGAAUAUUGGUCAAUGGACGAGAGUCUGAACCAGCCAAGUAGCGUGCAGGAUGACGGCCCUAUGGGUUGUAAACUGCUUUUAUAAGGGAAUAAAGUGAGCUACGUGUAGCUUUUUGCAUGUACCUUAUGAAUAAGGACCGGCUAAUUCCGUGCCAGCAGCCGCGGUAAUACGGAAGGUCCGGGCGUUAUCCGGAUUUAUUGGGUUUAAAGGGAGCGUAGGCCGGAGAUUAAGCGUGUUGUGAAAUGUAGAUGCUCAACAUCUGCACUGCAGCGCGAACUGGUUUCCUUGAGUACGCACAAAGUGGGCGGAAUUCGUGGUGUAGCGGUGAAAUGCUUAGAUAUCACGAAGAACUCCGAUUGCGAAGGCAGCUCACUGGAGCGCAACUGACGCUGAAGCUCGAAAGUGCGGGUAUCGAACAGGAUUAGAUACCCUGGUAGUCCGCACGGUAAACGAUGGAUGCCCGCUGUUGGUCUGAAUAGGUCAGCGGCCAAGCGAAAGCAUUAAGCAUCCCACCUGGGGAGUACGCCGGCAACGGUGCAACUCA
rnacentral:rRNA from 1 species